GGCUGGCGGCCGGCGUCUCCCUCGCGGCGGGAGAUUUGCGGAGCCCGCGGCCGCGGGGCGAGCGCCAUGGAGCGACUGCGGGACGUGCGGGAGCGGCUGCAGGCUUGGGAGAGCGCGUUCCGGCGGCGGCGCGGGAGGCGGCCGGGCCAGGUGCGGGCUGUCCGGGGACGGGGGUUGAGGAUGCGGCCUCCGGCUGACGCGCUCCCUUCACAGGAGGACGUGGCGGCGGCGCCUGAGGAUACCCGGGGUGAGCCCGCCGACGCGGGGCGGAAGGAGGGGCGCAGGGUGGGUGGGGCGACCGGCGGCCCCCCAGUAACCCUUCACCCCAUCCCCAGCGCUCUACCGGGAGUACCGCGCCCUGAAGGAGGCCCUGAAGGAGGCAGAAGGGGUCGGACCCCGCGGCCCCAAGCAAUCGCUUUCCGUGCAGGCAGAGGAGGUACCCAGGCCUUGACGCCCCAGCCUCCCGGCCAGUCUCCUGCGUGGCAGAGCCCAGAGGAGCCGUGAACGAGCCUGGGUGGGGCACAGAACAUUGGGGGAGGACUGGACAUGGUGGAGGAGGGCCUGGGGGCUGGGGAAGGGAGCUGCGGACAACUUCGCCCCUCGCACCAGCCUUUCUCUGGCUCGGACUCCCACCGCCUCUUCUUGCAGGUGCCAGAACCCAGCUGCUGGGGGCCCCACUUGAAUCGGGCUGCGACCCACAGUCCACAUCCUCCUCUUUCUGGGCCAAGCCGGCCAGGGUCUGUGCGGGACUACGGGGAGAGGCUUAAGGCCAACCUCAAGGGCACCCUGCAGGUGAGAGCUGAGAGCCAGGCAGUCAGUGCAUCCAACCCGUACCCAGAGCUGCUCUCCACUCAGUGACCGGACCCCCAGAUACCCUUUUCUGCUAACCCUUCCACGCACAUGUGCCUGUGCAAACGUGCACACGUACGCUCUUGCAGCACUAAUCAGGCGGAAACUCCUGGGGGGAGUUCAGGUCGGCGGCAGCCUGGAGACCUGAGUUCCUGCUUGUUGGUCUGUUCCCCCGCACCCCCACCAGGCUGGGCCAGCCCUGAGCCGCAUACCCCGGACUCCACGAAGACCCUCGUCCGAGAUGCCCACCCCAAGGCCACCAGGUGCAGGGGCUGCCCUCAUCUCUCCAGAAGAAGUCAGUGAGGUGCCCUUGCAGCCUGCUGGGCCCCAGCUGAGGCCGGGCUGCCUCCAGCAGCUACAGGCAUCCUUGAGCCUGCGACUGGGCUCCCUAGACCCUGGCUGGCUGGAGCGGUGUCACAACGGGGCCCCAGAUUUUCUGGGGGCUUCCAAGGCCUGCCAGCCUAACUUGGGUGUAGAGCAGUCACAGUCUCUGACUUCACGUGUCCCAUCUGUCCCUGGUCCCAGCACUAGGCCUGAGGCUCAAGCCCUACAGACAGCUGGAGUCAGUGCAGGGAGCCCCCAACCUGGCGACAGUCAAGGCAAGAGGUGCACACGGAAUAGGGAGCCAGAGGGGAGCCCUGCACAGGCCCAGCAAGACAGUGGCCAAAUAGGACCCCUGCCUGAGGAAGCUGGGACUGCAGAACAUGCAGAAGACCCUUCGGGAAAACCCCUGUGGGCACAGCGCCCCAGUGGCGCCACAGCCUCCAGGUACCACAGCUUCAGCCUCCCGGUAGGGUCACCUUAAGUCGAGCCAGGUCGGGGCAGGCUUGGGGCACGGCCCACUUGUACAUCCUUCUAGAGUAACUGUGCGGAACGGAGGUAAUUACGUGCGGCUCAACAUGAAGCAGAAACGCUACGUGCGGGGCCCGGCUCUCCGUGGAAGGCUCCUCCGCAAGCAGGUGAGGUGCUGGCAGGCACUCCCUUCACCCCUACUGCCUCCUGCCACGUGACCCUCUCUUAUGGCCCCCAGAUGUGGAAGCAGAAGUGGCAGAAGAAAGGGGAGCAUUUUGUAGGUGGUCGGCCCAGAGCCACGCUCAAGAAUUCUUGCUUCCGGUGUGGGCAGCUAGGCCACUGGUCAUCCCAGUGCCCCCAACCAGGUGAGACCUCUGCUCUGGUGGUGGGCCGGGCUGAGGUUUUUGGAGAGGACUUGUACUCUUGGCGGGGGAGCACCUGUAGCUCAAGUAAAAGAUUCUAUCUGCUUCUUCUACCUAACCUAGAGCAUACCCCAGCCCCCCAGAAGAAAGGUGGUGAGAAUGAAGACGACACACAGACCCUGCUCACUUUGGAGGAAGUAGUCCAGAGGACAGGCAGUGCCAGCUGCCGACUCCCUGGUGAAUGAAGGGGUGGAGGGCAGGUUGUAGCUAGGUGUGUUUUUGCUAGAAUGACCCCAGCCCAGCCUGGAGUUCCCACACCACCCUUUUCCAUCUGUUUCUAGUGAGUGAGAAAGAUCCGGAGCCUGCUGGGCCUGAGCUGUUGGUCACCGUGGAACAGCCUGGGCCCCGGGUGCCCUGCCUGCCCCCUACCGUGCCACCACUUUACCCACCAGGGCCCUCUGGGCAAGUGGCAGGUGAGCAGAUGCUUUUCAGCUGAGAGCCUUUACUGGGGGAUGGGGGCAACUUGAGGCCAUGCUGACCAACACCUGUGUCCCCAGAGACGCCAGCUGAGGUAUUCCAGGCCCUGGAGCAGCUAGGGCACCGUGCCUUCCGCCCCGGACAGGAGCGUGCGGUCAUGCGGAUCCUCUCUGGUGAGCUUGGCUGUUGGGGGAUGGGACAGGGCCAAGGCCCGGCCACAGGAUAGCACACUGACCCUUGUUCCCACCAGGCAUAUCCACGCUGCUGGUGUCGCCCACCGGUGCUGGCAAGUCCUUGUGCUACCAGCUCCCCGCGCUGCUUUAUGCCCGGCGGAGCCCCUGCCUCACACUGGUCAUCUCUCCCCUCCUGUCUCUCAUGGACGACCAGGUGCGCAGACGGGACCCCUCCAGCACAUGCAGAAGGCAGGAACCAGUGCCCACGGCUCUUCCGACCCUUUGGGGCUGCUGUCAGUUACUUGGCCGGAGCUGUAGAGAGCUCAGCUAUUCUCAGCCUGCCAGCUCUGUCCACAGUCCCCGGCCUGGCAAUGGUCCAAGGGCAGCAGGGACACAGCUGGCCAGACCUGAGUCCACCCCCAAGAGGAGCAGCUCUAGGGAGGGAGGACGUCCCCAGUGGGGCCUGUCUGCUCUUGGCACUCCUGAACCAAGGCUCACAGGGGGCUCUGAAUCCUUAGUCACAGGAUCUACGAGCUGGGACUUUUCUCCCUAGGGAGCCCAGGUUGAAGAUGGCAACAGCUGUCAGGCCAAGCACCACUGAGCGCUGUUUGAGGAAGAGCAGGGGAAGGGUGGCUUGCAACUGGUUGUCCUUUUGUACCCACAGGUGUCUGGCCUGCCCCCAUGCCUGAAGGCAGCCUGCAUCCAUUCAGGCAUGACCAGGAAGGAGCGGGACUCUGCCCUGAAAAAGGUGAGGGAGGGGCCUUACACAGCAAGAUGGGUAGGGACAGAAGGCAGGCCCUCGAUGAUGCUCCUGACCUUGCCGUCCUCAGGUUCAGGCGGCCCAGGUGCACGUUCUGAUGCUGUCACCCGAGGCACUGGUUGGGGCUGCGGCAGGGACCCCUGGCUCCCUCCCUCAGCUGCCUCCCGUUGCCUUUGCCUGUGUCGACGAGGCCCACUGCCUGUCCCAAUGGUCCCACAACUUCCGGCCCUGCUACCUGCGUGUCUGCAAGGUGAGCCUUCUUUGGGGUACAAGCGAAGGGGCAAGGCAGGGUGGGUGGGGCACCUUCACUGGCUCCUCUCCCACACAGGUGCUGCGGGAACACAUGGGUGUCCGCUGCUUUCUGGGUCUUACGGCCACGGCUACGCACAGCACCUCAAGAGACAUGGCUCAGCAUCUAGGCGUGGCUGAGGAGCAUGUCCUCAGAGGGCCAGUCACCAUCCCCACCAACCUGUACCUCUCUGUGUCCACGGACAGGAACCCAGACCAGGUGAGUGGACACACCGGGGCCUGGCAGAGGCACUGCCUCUGACAGCCCGUGCUGACCGCUGUCGCCCACCAGGCUUUGGUGACACUGCUGCAGAGUGAUCGUUUUCGCGACCUGAACUCUGUCAUCGUCUACUGCAACAGACGCGAAGACACGGAGCGCAUUGCUGCGCUGCUCCGCACCUGCCUGUGUGAGGCCUGGGACCUGGGGCCUAGAGGGGAGGUCAGCAGGGCUGUGCCCCACGGACCUGCCACAGGAACACGUUCUACCCAACUGUCUGUGUCUUCUCUGCAGGCCAGGCCCCGGAAGCUGUGGCCGAAGCCUACCACGCCGGCAUGUGUGCCCGGGAGCGGCGGCGGGUGCAGCAGGCCUUCAUGGAGGGCCGGCUGCGGGUGGUGGUGGCCACAGUGGCCUUCGGGAUGGGGCUGGACCGGCCAGAUGUGCGGGCCGUGCUGCACCUGGGGCUGCCCCCCAGCUUUGAGAGCUACGUGCAGGCUGUGGGCCGGGCUGGACGGGACGGCCAGCCCGCACACUGCCACCUCUUUCUACAGCCCCAGGUUCUUACUUGCCCCACUUGAGCUCCCCCCACCCCACCCCACCCCACCGCCCCACGUUUACAGCUAUUCUUUCGCAGGGUCAGGACCUGCGGGAGUUGCGUAGACACGUGCAUGCCGAGGCCUCCGACUUCCUUGCCGUGAAGAAGCUGGUACAGUGCUCGUUCCCACCCUGCACCUGCACCCAUGCCCAACAGCCCCCAGAGCAGGAGGGAGCCAAGAGCCAAGAGAGGCCUGUGACCGUGUCCCCGAGCGAGGCCGAGCAAGCCAGCAACAAAGGCCUAGCCCAGUGCCUGGGUCAUGAGCGGGCACUCCCAGUGCAGCCGCUGGUGCAGGCCCUGGACAUGCCUGAGGAGGGUGAGGAACCGGGGGCAGGAGUGGGUACCUCCCCGCAUCCCCACGUCCCUGUGUCCCCUAAGCCCUGCUCUGCCUCCAGCCAUUGAGACGCUGCUGUGCUACCUGGAGCUACACCCACGGCGCUGGCUGGAGCUGCUGGCACCCACCUAUGCCUACUGCCACCUGCGCUGCCCUGGGGGCCUCCCCCAGCUCCAGGCCCUGGCCCGCAGGUGAGCACACAUCCCACCCCAGGCUGGGGCCAGGGACACAGGACCAGGGCUGCUAAUCACAUAUCCCUUUCCCUGGGACAGGUGUCCUCCACUGGCGGUCUGGUUAGCCCAGCAGCCACAGGAAAACAUAGGCGAAGGAAGCUAUUCCGUAGAGUUUGACGUGGUUAAGUUGGCCGACUCGAUGGGCUGGAAGCUCGCCCCUGCAAAGCAGGCUCUCCGUCAACUGCAGUGGUACCCAGAGCCCAGCACAGGUGAGCCCUGCCCCCAACCCUGCUUGGACCCAGCCCUGCUUGCCGCCCUCCUGCCUGUGUCUCACAAGCUCUCUGGCAGGUGCACAUCGGGACACAGGGGUGCUGGUGGAGUUCCGGGAGCUCGCCUUCUGUCUGCACAGCCCCGGAGACCUGACAGCCCACGAGAAGGACCAGAUCUGUGACUUCCUAUAUGAACGUGUACAAACCCGCGAGCAGGAGGCCCUGGCACGCCUGCGACGCACCUUCCAGGCCUUUCACAGGUGCAGGAGAGGUGGGCGGGGCCUGAGGCCACCCCCGCUUCCCCCUCUGGUGAACCGCGCUGACAGAUUCCUCUCACCCCAGUGUAGCCUUCCCCAGCUGCGGGCCCUGCUUGGAGCAGCCUGAUGAGGAGCACAGUGCCAGGCUCAAGGCUCUGCUCAGCGGCUACUUCGAGGAAGAGGGGCCAGGAGGCAUGGAAGACGAGCAGGGCCCAGAGCCAGGACAGGCCAGGGUGAGUGCCAGCCCCUCCUGGGGGGUUGAAGAGAGGACACAGGCCUGCGGUGAGGUCAGGCAGCAAAGUGCGUGCACACGCUUACACACUCUGUCUCCUGCCUUGCACCACGGUGGGCUGUGUGGAACUUGGUGCUGUGGAAGCGUGGGCUGGCCUUACGUGCCUGCCACCCACAGAUCCAGGACUGGGAGGACCAGAUACGCCAGGACAUCCGCCAUCUCCUGUCCUCGUGGCCAGACCAGCAGUUCUCGGGCAGGGCUGUGGCCCGUAUCUUCCACGGCAUUGGUGAGGGCCUGGGAGGCUGGGUUCGGACAUGGGCAGGGGCCAGGUCUGGCCCAGAGUCCUCAGGGCUGUGUCUGCCACUCCACCACAGGAAGCCCCUGCUAUCCGGCCCAGGUGUACGGGCGGGACCGGCGUUUCUGGAGAAAACACCUGCAUCUGAGCUUCCGUGCCCUGAUGCGUUUAGCUACAGAGGAGAUCCUGCUGUGGGGCCACUGACCACCCUGCCGCAGGCCAGCCCUGCUCCCCCACGUCACACACAGGGGGCUGUGUGGCCACCGUGCCGAGGGAGCCAGGUGUGGCAGUUUAUCAGGGAAAAGAGAAGGGACAUUUGUGGCCAAGACAGUGACCGACUACCUGGGCGAAGCCCACCACCAGAAGCGGGACGAAGAGGCCCCAAAACGCGGAAUAAAAAAUGCUCAAGUCAUUCUUA
rnacentral:lncRNA from 1 species